UCGAGGAUCUUCGGCAAUGGGCGCAAGCCUGACCGAGCGACGCCGCGUGCGGGAUGAAGGCCUUCGGGUUGUAAACCGCCGUCGGAGGGGAGGAAAUGCCGGGAAGUAAUAAAUAAUCGACCCGGUUUGACCUAUCCUCAGAGGAAGUACGGGCUAAGUUCGUGCCAGCAGCCGCGGUAAGACGAACCGUACAAACGUUAUUCGGAAUCACUGGGCUUAAAGGGUGCGUAGGCGGCUUUGCAAGUCGGGUGUGAAAGCCCUCGGCUCAACCGAGGAAUUGCGCCCGAAACUGUUAAGCUUGAGGGACACAGAGGUAAGCGGAACUUAGGGUGGAGCGGUGAAAUGCGUUGAUAUCCUAAGGAACACCAGGAGCGAAAGCGGCUUACUGGGUGUCUUCUGACGCUGAGGCACGAAAGCCAGGGGAGCGAACG
rnacentral:rRNA from 1 species